rnacentral:pre_miRNA from 1 species
AGGAGGAACAGCCCCAGUGGCGGGGCAGCUCUGGAACCUGGAUUCAGCUCCGGCAGGAACUCUGUCUGCAGGGCCUGGAGGCUCCGGGGCGGG